rnacentral:lncRNA from 1 species
UCCAACAAAGAAAAAAAUCCAUCCACACUGAAAUCACAGUGAACCUAUUUUUCUUAAGGAUCCCAAGAAACAAAGCACCAUAACUGAAAGCAGCAAAAGUGCAGAUGAGAGAUUUCUCCCCACUGAAGCAUCCACCUCAUGAGGCAGCCUGCACAGCUCCCAAACCCAGGAGGGGCCUCUUCUUUAAGCUGUGAGGUUACUGCUCCUCCCUUCCCAUGCAAUACUGACACAGCACACAGCAGCCUGGUCUAGAGGUAAGUAAUUCAGCUCCCUUCCUUUCAUUCUGAUGUUUUCUUUUUGGAUGGGUCCAUCCAGGUGUAUGAAGCAGCCCAC